AUACGGAGGAUCCGAGCGUUAUCCGGAUUUAUUGGGUUUAAAGGGUGCGCAGGCGGGAGAUUAAGUCGGCGGUGAAAUUUUGCAGCUCAACUGUAAAAGGGCCUUCGAAACUGGUUUCCUUGAGUGUAGAUGAAGUAGGCGGAAUUUGUGGUGUAGCGGUGAAAUGCAUAGAUAUCACGAGGGACUCCGAUUGCGCAGGCAGCUUACUAAACUACUACUGACGCUCAGGCACGAAGGCGUGGGGAUCAAACAGGAUUAGAUACCCUGGUAGUCCACGCAGUAAACGAUGAUUACUAGCUGUUUGCGAUACAAUGUAAGCGGCUGAGCGAAAGCGUUAAGUAAUCCACCUGGGGAGUACGUUCGCAAGAAUGAAACUCAAAUGAAUUGACGGGG
rnacentral:rRNA from 1 species